UCAAGCUACAAAGGGCAUAUGGUGAAUGCCUUGGCACCAGUAGCCGAUGAAGGACGCGAUAAGCUGCGAUAAGCUUCGGGUAGGCGCAAAUAGCCUGUGAUCCGGAGAUUUCCGAAUGGGGAAACCUGCAUACCUAACGGUAUGUACCGUAAAUUGAAUACAUAGAUUUACGGGGGUAUACCCGGGGAACUGAAACAUCUAAGUACCCGGAGGAAGAGAAAGAAAAAUCGAUUUUCUUAGUAGCGGCGAGCGAAAAGGAAAGAGCCCAAACCAGAAAUUUAUUUCUGGGGUUGUGGAUUGACCAUCAGUGAAGACAGAUUUGUUAUCGAAGAGAGCUGGAACGCUCUACCACAGAAGGUAAUAGUCCUGUAGGUAAAAAAUUAUGUCUUUUAGGUCUAAUCCAAAGUACCACGAGACACGAGAAACCUUGUGGGAAUUCGGGGGGACCACCCCCCAAGGCUAAAUACUACUUAGUGACCGAUAGCGCAUAGUACUGUGAAGGAAAGGUGAAAAGGACCCCGGGAGGGGAGUGAAAGAGAACCUGAAACCCUGUGUUUACAAGCUGUGGAACCACGUUAAAGGUGGAACCGCGUACUUUUUGUAGAACGGUCCGGCGAGUUACCGUUACUGGCAAGGUUAAGCACUUAAGGUGCGGAGCCGAAGGGAAACCAAGUCUUAAUAGGGCGUUAAGUCAGUAAAGGUAGACCCGAAACCGGGUGAUCUACCCAUGGGCAGGUUGAAGCGGAAGUAAAAUUCCGUGGAGGACCGAACCACGUUGGUGUUGAAAAACCAUGGGAUGACCUGUGGAUAGCGGAGAAAUUCCAAUCGAACUCGGAGAUAGCUGGUUCUCCUCGAAAUAGCUUUAGGGCUAGCGUCUGGUUAUUGAGUAAUGGAGGUAGAGCACUGAAUGGGCUAGGGGCUGACAACAGUUACUGAACCCUAUCAAACUCCGAAUGCCAUAUACUUUUAUCCAGGCAGUCAGACUGCGAGUGAUAAGAUCCGUAGUCGAGAGGGAAACAACCCAGACCAUCAGCUAAGGUCCCAAAGUGUAAGUUAAGUGGAAAAGGAUGUGGGAUUUCUAAGACAACUAGGAUGUUGGCUUAGAAGCAGCCACUCAUUUAAAGAGUGCGUAAUAGCUCACUAGUCAAGAGAUCCUGCGCCGAAGAUGUCCGGGGCUCAAACUUACCACCGAAGCUAUGGAUUCAAUAGAAUGGUAGAGGAGCUUCCUGUAUGGGUAGAAGUCGUAUCGUAAGAAGCGGUGGACUGUACAGGAGUGAGUAUGCUGGCAUGAGUAGCGAGAAAUAAGUGAGAAUCUUAUUGGUCGAAAACCUAAGGUUUCCUGAGGAAGGUUCGUCCGCUCAGGGUUAGUCGGGACCUAAGCCCAGGCCGAAAGGCGUAGGUGAUGGACAAUCGGUUGAUAUUCCGAUACCGCCAACUUUCGUUUGACAAAUGGGGUGACACAGAAGGAUAAGGUAUGCACACUAUUGGAUGUGUGUCUAAGCACUUAGGCGUGCUUGAUUGGCAAAUCCGUCAAGCUAAGCUGAGGUGUUAUGGGGAGCCUAUUUUGGCGAAGUGCCUGAUUCCACACUGUCAAGAAAAGCCUCUAUGGAGAAUGUUGGUGCCCGUACCGCAAACCGACACAGGUAGGUGAGGAGAGAAUCCUAAGGCCGGCGGGAGAAGCAUUGUUAAGGAACUCGGCAAAUUGACCCCGUAACUUCGGGAGAAGGGGUGCCUGGGAAACCAGGCCGCAGAGAAUAGGCUCAAGCAACUGUUUAGCAAAAACACAGGUCUAUGCAAAACCGAAAGGUGAGGUAUAUGGGCUGACGCCUGCCCGGUGCUGGAAGGUUAAAGGGAUGCGUUAGCGGUAACGCGAAGCGGUGAACUUAAGCCCCAGUGAACGGCGGCCGUAACUAUAACGGUCCUAAGGUAGCGAAAUUCCUUGUCGGGUAAGUUCCGACCCGCACGAAUGGCGUAAUGACUUGGGCACUGUCUCAACAGCAAAUCCGGCGAAAUUGUAGUGCAAGUGAAGAUGCUUGCUACCCGCGAUAGGACGGAAAGACCCCGUAGAGCUUUACUGUAGCUUAACAUUGAAUUUCGGUAUUGUCUGUACAGGAUAGGUGGGAGACUUAGAAGCAGGGGCGUCAGUUUCUGUGGAGUCAUCCUUGGGAUACCACCCUGAUAGUACUGAAAUUCUAACCGGAGACCAUGAAUCUGGUCACGGGACAUUGUUAGGUGGGCAGUUUGACUGGGGCGGUCGCCUCCUAAAAAGUAACGGAGGCGCCCAAAGGUUCCCUCAGCGCGGUCGGAAAUCGCGCGUAGAGUGUAAAGGCAUAAGGGAGCCUGACUGCGACACAUACAGGUGGAGCAGGGACGAAAGUCGGGCUUAGUGAUCCGGUGGUUCCUCGUGGGAGGGCCAUCGCUCAACGGAUAAAAGCUACCUCGGGGAUAACAGGCUGAUCUCCCCCAAGAGUCCACAUCGACGGGGAGGUUUGGCACCUCGAUGUCGGCUCAUCGCAUCCUGGGGCUGUAGUAGGUCCCAAGGGUUGGGCUGUUCGCCCAUUAAAGCGGUACGCGAGCUGGGUUCAGAACGUCGUGAGACAGUUCGGUCCCUAUCCGGCGUGGGCGUAGGAUAUUUGAGAGGAGCUGUCCUUAGUACGAGAGGACCGGGAUGGACUGACCUCUGGUGUAUCUGUUGGCUAUCAAAGCCAUGGCAGAGUAGCCAAGUCGGGAAGGGAUAAACGCUGAAGGCAUCUAAGCGUGAAGCCCCCCUCAAGAUGAGAUAUCCCAUCGCAAGAGUAAGACCCCUUGAAGACGACGAGGUAGAUAGGGCAGAGGUGGAAGUGCAGCAAUGUGUUUAGCUGACUGAUACUAAUAGGUCGAGGGCUUGAUCAA
rnacentral:rRNA from 1 species